CAGCAUGGUCUUAGCUUGCUAAGGCCGAUGGCGACCGGCGCACGGGUGAGUAACACGUAUCCAACCUGACGUCUACUCUUGGACAGCCUUCUGAAAGGAAGAUUAAUACAAGAUGGCAUCAUGAGUCCGCAUGUUCACAUGAUUAAAGGUAUUCCGGUAGACGAUGGGGAUGCGUUCCAUUAGAUAGUAGGCGGGGUAACGGCCCACCUAGUCUUCGAUGGAUAGGGGUUCUGAGAGGAAGGUCCCCCACAUUGGAACUGAGACACGGUCCAAACUCCUACGGAAGGCAGCAGUGAGGAAUAUUGGUCAAUGGGCGAGAGCCUGAACCAGCCAAGUAGCGUGAAGGAUGACUGCCCUAUGGGUUGUAAACUUCUUUUAUAAAGGAAUAAAGUCGGGUAUGGAUACCCGUUUGCAUGUACUUUAUGAAUAAGGAUCGGCUAACUCCGUGCCAGCAGCCGCGGUAAUACGGAGGAUCCGAGCGUUAUCCGGAUUUAUUGGGUUUAAAGGGAGCGUAGAUGGAUGUUUAAGUCAGUUGUGAAAGUUUGCGGCUCAACCGUAAAAUUGCAGUUGAUACUGGAUAUCUUGAGUGCAGUUGAGGCAGGCGGAAUUCGUGGUGUAGCGGUGAAAUGCUUAGAUAUCACGAAGAACUCCGAUUG
rnacentral:rRNA from 1 species